AGAGUUUGAUCCUGGCUCAGGAUGAACGCUAGCGAUAGGCCUAACACAUGCAAGUCGAGGGGCAGCAUAGAGUAGCAAUACUUUGAUGGCGACCGGCGCACGGGUGAGUAACACGUAUGCAACCUACCUACAUCAGGGGAAUAACCCGGAGAAAUUCGGACUAAUACCGCAUAAUACAGGGAUGCCGCAUGGUAAUAUUUGUUAAAGAUUUAUCGGAUGUAGAUGGGCAUGCGUUCCAUUAGCUAGUUGGUAAGGUAACGGCUUACCAAGGCAACGAUGGAUAGGGGAACUGAGAGGUUUGUCCCCCACACUGGAACUGAGACACGGACCAGACUCCUACGGGAGGCAGCAGUGAGGAAUAUUGGUCAAUGGACGAGAGUCUGAACCAGCCAAAUCGCGUGAAGGAAGACUGCCCUACGGGUUGUAAACUUCUUUUGUACAGGAAUAAAAGACAUUACGUGUAAUGUAUUGCAUGUACUGUACGAAUAAGCAUCGGCUAACUCCGUGCCAGCAGCCGCGGUAAUACGGAGGAUGCGAGCGUUAUCCGGAUUUAUUGGGUUUAAAGGGUGCGCAGGCGGGAUUUUAAGUCAGCGGUGAAAUUUUCAGGCUCAACCUGAACACUGCCGUUGAAACUGGGAUUCUUGAGUAUGGAUGAAGUAGGCGGAAUUCGUUGUGUAGCGGUGACAUGCUUAGAUAUAACGAGGAACUCCGAUUGCGUAGGCAGCUUACUAAGCCAUAACUGACGCUCAAGCACGAAAGCGUGGGAAUCAAACAGGAUUAGAUACCCUGGUAGUCG
rnacentral:rRNA from 1 species